ensembl:lncRNA
GUGAAGUUUGACAACUACGGAAAUGAGGAAGAGAUGGACCUGAGUGCCCUUUUACCUGAUGCUGCUAACCAGCCCAAACAGGAGAUACUGAGCUGUAAGGAUGAAACCGACAGUGAUGAGAAGGUUGGAAACAAUCCCCCUAAACCAAGAGAAUCAAUACUCCCGAAAUCCUGUGUGCUGUGUAAGGGACUGAUUGACCCAAAGGUGUGGAUGCUAGGUUCUCGGUGCCGUGCUGUGUACUCCGAGGAUGGCCUGGUCUACCCAGCAGUACUGGUGUGGAUGAGAGGCGACCGCUGCCGGGUGAAGUUCGACGGCUACGGGAAUGAGGAGGAGCUGGACCUGAGCACCCUUCUGUCCCCAGUUGAUGCGGGAGGCCAUAGUGAUGUGAAGGGGCUCGGACCUUCUAGGAAAAACUGGGCGGAUUAUGAGAAGACUGAUCAAGAGUGGAAGUCCUCUCAACUCGGGC